rnacentral:rRNA from 1 species
GUUAUCGUUUAUUUGAUAAUACCUUACUACUUGGAUAACCGUGGUAAUUCUAGAGCUAAUACAUGCCGAAAAUCCCGACUUCGGAAGGGAUGUGUUUAUUAGAUAAAAAACCUAUGCCCUUCGGGGCUUUUUGGUGAUUCAUGAUAACUUUACGGAUCGCAUAGCCUUGCGCUGGCGACGGUUCAUUCAAAUUUCUGCCCUAUCAACUUUCGAUGGUAAGGUAUUGGCUUACCAUGGUUUCAACGGGUAACGGGGAAUUAGGGUUCGAUUCCGGAGAGGGAGCCUGAGAAACGGCUACCACAUCCAAGGAAGGCAGCAGGCGCGCAAAUUACCCAAUCCCGACACGGGGAGGUAGUGACAAUAAAUACUGAUACAGGGCUCUUUUGGGUCUUGUAAUUGGAAUGAGUACAAUUUAAACCUCUUAACGAGGAACAAUUGGAGGGCAAGUCUGGUGCCAGCAGCCGCGGUAAUUCCAGCUCCAAUAGCGUAUAUUAAAGUUGUUGCAGUUAAAAAGCUCGUAGUUGAAACUUGG